rnacentral:lncRNA from 1 species
AGGAUAUGAAUCUUUCACCAUUUAUAACCAACCAGAAAGUGUGAUAUGAUGAAGUGUUUUCACUUGGUAAUAAAUGCAUUUUACUACUUUUGAAUAAUAGAAGAUUACAUUAACUGAAAAUAAACAAAGAGAAGAUUACAAUAUUAAUUUGGCUAAAGGGCACAGAUAGUUACUGCAGACAAAUACAAAAAAGUAAAGAUUACAGUAAUUGGUUAGCACUUCUUUUAAGUUAGAAAAAUUAAUCAACUUCAGACUAGGUGUUCACACUUAACAGUUUGGUUUGACUCAAUUUUCCUUCUAAGAAAACAUAAAUUAAAUUAUUCCUAUGCUAGGAUCAAGGUUCAUUUGAUAGUUUUAUCGUAAUGAACCAACGACUUAAUUGUUGCCCAGGCAUCUAAUGCUAUUUCGUGCUGACUGCUAUUCUACGAAGACACUAAAGACUGUCCAAUUGUUUAACCCAAAAGGAAGGAAAGGACUUCAAACCUCAAAGUAAUCUGAGGAUCUUCAGCCUAUAAUUUUAGCCAAAAACAAUGGUGGAAUUACCUGUGGAGGAGGCUAUUAGCUCAGAACUAUCAACAUUAUGUCUCUAGAGGAAUAAAUGUCCCAUAAUAGCCAUAUGUCAUAUACACCCUCAAUGGGAUAGUCUAGAAGUCGAAGAGAAGAGUAAUGACCUUGGGAACCAAGCUCGAAUCUUAACAUAAGCGAUACUAUGUGAAUUCUUCUCUCUCUCUCUCUCUCUCUCUCUCUCUCUCUCUCUCUCUCUCCAAAUAGGAAAGCAUAAGCACUGCGCAACUAUUACUGUUCACUACUAACUCUUAUCCACAACAUUCUAGGAACGAGUCCUUCAACAACAAUGUUAGUUGAAAAGCUUUCAGCUAUUUUGUCCGAGUGACACAUUACGGUUGCAACACUUGCAAAAAUUUCAUGACCUAAUCAAAUUGCAGUAGCAGAUCACACCUUCAGAUUUUAAGUUUGCACUUUGAAAAUUACCAGAGUAUUGAAGUUCUUUAAAAGGUCUCCUAAUAACUUUCCACUAAUUUCUGGCUGCUUGUUAUUUCUAGUUUGUAAGCUUGCUGCCACAACAUACUUGGUUUUAUCUUGUCAUACCAAGUUGCAUAGAGUGACUUCUUUUAGAGUUCACUAGUUUGAUUUCUUAGUAGUUGUGCAAAUUGGCUCCAGUAUGAGUACGACAAUCAAGAAUUAACAGUCUUGAGUCAAGACAUGUCACCAAGGUUCUAUAUCUAGCUCUUCAGCUUGCUUUCUAGAUGCAUACACACUAACAACAACAACAUACCCGGUGCAUACUCACUAAUAGAUGUAAUAAAAAAGGUAAUUGCAACACAUAUGAAAAGAGGCUAUCAUAUAAGUAAAAUAAGGCCCAUAGAGUGUGAAGAACUGAAAACAACAUAUUUUAUUCCUAUUCAAAGAGCAUGGCUCAUUUAAGAGAUUCCUCGUUAUGAUGUGAAAAAAUCAUAAUUAUUCACAGACAUGUAAUAUUCAUAGUCAACAAUGGAUGUACAUAGACACAGACACAAAAGAAACCAAGCUUUAGAAAACAACAAAGAUUAGAAGUUAUAGUUGUCAGUACCAAUCAGAAUAAUUAGAAAAUAUGGAGUGUCUCCGACAAGGAAUUGUCAGCAUAAAAAAACCCAACCCAAAAGGGAAAAAAAGGCAUUUCAAUCUUCAAACUGUCCGAGAAGCUCCAGCCAAUAAAUUUAGUCAGCACAAAGGUGCAAUCACCUGUAUCAUCUUUAUGAAUAAUGUUCCUGAAUGCCAUAAGUCUGAUAAUCACCAGGAAAUGAGAAAAUAAAGGACAGGGUAGUUCUAUGCUUCCCACCAAUAGAGAAACAGUUCAGCAAGUUCUAAGGAACUUAGGAACCUGACUUCUUUUAGAACUGUUACAUUAGGUUUUGACUAGAUAUUUGCAGGGUCACAGGGGAUAGGUGCCGAAGCCAAAUUCCAGGUUCCCCUCGGGGGUGGGGGGGUGGGGGGGGGGGGGACGGAAAGUUAAGAAGGUGGUAGAGGUAAAACAUUGCAUCAGAUCUAGUGAGGCAAUAUCAUAGCAAUUCUGGCAUGCAAUUGAUGCAUACGUAGAUGCAAUCGUACUUAUGUCGCUCAUUUUUCAUCUACACAUCUUAUUUUCAGAGUAAGAUUCUAUAGUAGGAUAAGUUUAUUCCAUUCUAAAUAUCUACUUAUACAUAAGUGUAUCCAUACUUCAACAUAUAUCUAAUAAGAAAAGGCAUGUCAACUAUAGCUUUUACUAUUUCUGAGACAUGAGAGCACACUAUCGCCUUAACGUAUUGACAAGAAAUAAACUGGUAGAAUCACACAAUACUUCUCCCCGACAGGACACUACAUUCUGCACCAUAACAGGUAUAACAGGUAAUUAAACAAGCCGAUUUCAGCAAAUAUGAAAAGUAAUCAGCAACUAAAAAAUCCUAUCAUGAAACUUUAAUAACCUUUCACUUUCCUGCAACAGAACUUGAUAAUCCCUUGGAAUCAUAACGGAAUUGAAAAUAAAAAGUUCAAAACUUUGGGAAAUGGAUGAAACUAAUCAUUACAGGAUUGAAGAAAGCACCAAUAAGCUAUAGCAAAAAAGAAGUAAAAAUGUGAAAACUUAACUAAAAGUGAACACUACAGAAGCCCUAGUUAAAUGCUUCUCACAGCUCAAAGUUAUUUACUUUAUUAUUAAAAUCAGAAAUGCUUGUUAAACUCAACAGCACACAGAAAAAAACUAAAUUUUGAAGGAAAAGUUUAUCAGCAAAUUUAGUUUUACUUAAAAGAGAAAAAUUAGUCCAAUCAAUUAAGAACAGACUUAGCAACAUGCUCUUAAUGGUCUAUUAGUUACAGCAAUUUAGGGUUCAAAUUUUGGGAUUUAAACUGUAGCAGCUUACUAGGGUUUCAAAAAGCUGAGUCACAAAAAAUCAACAAGAUUUAAUUCGAAGGGUUAAUCAAUUUAGGGGUUUGAAUAAAAAGAACAAUUUUAUUCAAAAACCAUCACCGGAAACCUGAAAAACCGGCGAAAGAUUGCCGGCGCCGGAAAAGUGUCCGAUCAUAUACUCUGUUUCUUUAUCCGACUCAGACGCAUGGAGAUCCAGUUACCGAUUGAUACUAUUUUCUAUGCCAUGGAAGGAGAAUCACAAGCCUGACAAAUAUGUCACUUUCCAAAACCGGACUUUUUAAGAAAGAGGAACUUUAUUAUUGCGGACGCGUAUUUGCCAGAUUUGUAAUUCUCCUUCUGUCUUAACAAGAAAAUUGUAUCAGUCCAUAAGACGGACCACCAUUUCUAGCAUCUAAGCAGGAAAAAGAAACAAGGAUUGAUCAUUAAACAAUUUUCUAACAUGAAAUGGAUAGAAUUUGAUUGUUUUAUUUAUAAUGGUUCAAUCGUACAGAGGAUUGUGGUAGGUGGACGAGACUUGUAGUAAACUCUAGAAAGUACAAUUAAUAAAUGGAUAUUUUUAUUUUUGAAAAUAACAACAACGAUCCAGUGAAAUUCCACUAGUAUAGUUUGAGAAGUAUAAUGUACGCUGACCUUACUCCUACCCGAAGGAAUAGAAAGGCUGUUUCUAAAGACCCUCGGCUCAUAUUUCUAUUUUUGAAAAGUAAAUUCUUAUAUUAGCUAGUGGCCUUAAUUGUUAUGUUGGGUCGGUUACGUUUCUCUACCUUCAUAAUAUAUACUACCUACCCCAACUCCACCAGUGAAAAUAUAUUGAAUAUGUUAUUAUUGUUCAGUCGUUUGCGCUUUCCCAACUCCAUAUGUAAGAAUAUAUUAAAUAUGUUAUUGUUGUUCAGUUGUUUGUGUUGAUUUCAUAGAUUAUUAUUCAACUUUUCCUUUUAUUUUAUUAAACUAAAAUAGCUAUACUAUUUUUAUAACAUAAAAAUCAAAAGGGAACGGUCAUGACGAAGCGAUGACUAUUGUUACAUAGGUCAUUUUUAUAAGCUUUCAAAAUUUUAGGCGAUUCGUGUCUGGUCGCCCGGGUGCAUGCAAAUGGUGUAGGUUAUGCAUAUGAAAAUCUAGGAAUCGGGCGGAAUUCCAGUUUUAUCCAAAAAAUGAAGAGCGGUCAUGGAAAGGCGAUGAUUAUUGUUCCUUAAGUCGUUUUAGAUGGGCCAACAAAAUUUUGGGCGAUUCGGGUCCGGUUGCCCGGAUGCAUGCAGAUGGCAUGGGUUAUAGUACACGUAAAUUUGGGAAUCAGGCGAAAUUCCAGUUUUAUGGCCCUAAAACGCCAAAAAUUGAGGAACGAUCCUGGUGAAACAAUGACUAUUGUUCCUUAGGUUAUUAAACUUUCAUUUUGUUACAUUAAGGUUAUUAAACUAUCAUUUUGUAAAUAAAAAAGUACUCAAUUUUACCUAAACAUUACAAAAGUUACCAUUUUUAGUAAUAAAAAAAUGCACUUUAUUUUGGCGUAAAUAUCACAAAAGGUCAUUAGGAGAAACAAAAGAGACAUUUAUAUGAUACUUUGGUAAAGUUGAAUUAUUAUGUUUUGUGAUUUUUUAUGGUUCUUAGGCAAGGUUGAAUAAUUAUUUUGUUAUAAAAAAUAAUUUAGUAAUUUUUUAUAAUAUUUAAGCAAAAUUGUUUUUUGGUGUUUUAGGGCCAUAAAAUUGGAAUUCAGCUUGAUUUCCAAAUUUUUGUGUCUAUAACCCACGCUAUAUGUAGGCAUCCGGCCGACAAGACCCGAAUCGCCUAAAAUUUUGUCGACUCAUAAAAAAUGACCUAAGGAAUAAUAGUCAUCGCUUCACCAUGACCGUUCCUCGUUUUUUGAUCAUACCUUCCCGGCCGCUUAGUUUCAUAAGUCUAAAUAAUUUGGGGCACGUAGUUUUGAAAGUAGCCCUAGAAAGAUCAUUGCUAAGAGGAGAGCAGUGAAUUUCUCACUAAUUAGGUGUUAUCAUCGUAUUAUAAUGAUUAUUCCGACGUCAGAGGAGGCGAGACUACCAAUAAUUUCAAAGUGAAUUAACCUUGUCUGCACUACCACAUUAAGACGUGUUUUCAGAACGAACAAGAUACGAGUUGAGAAGGGGGAGUUAGCAAAGUUAGACAAGAUUGGAAUGGGCAUAGGAACAAUCUUCAAUGAACUUCCAUUAGCACUUCAGAUUGAUCUUGAGGAAGAACAUCUCAUGGAUCUCUCCUUGGGGUAAAGCGGCACUCGACAUCUAUUAAACAAGACCAGGAACAAAGCCAUACCAUGCCCUCGGGAGAAAAUAAUAAUGAUUGCCAUGAAUGCUGCCCUCGAGGACAUGUACAAGAGGGUCUUUGCCAAUUCCUAUCAACAUAGCCCAAACUGAGAAGUAUUGCACCCCCUUGAAAUGAGUGCAUGUACAUCACACCUCCUACUGUUGUUGCCAAAGCUCCCAGUAAACCUGAAAUAGGCCAUGGACUUGGAUCUACCAAAUGAUAAGAAUGCCUCUGAGAUUCAAUCAUAAACCACUUUGCCUCAGUUCUAUGUAAACCCCCUUCACCCCCACCCCCUAAAGUAGUAAAGUAAAUAAGGGCUCUUUGGGGUCUAAACACAUGUUAGCUGUAGGAAGUAUGGUUCCAAAAGUGACUUCGGUUCGCCAGGCUCAACUCCUCGCUUUACGUUAACGAACCUACAUGUCAGGCCGGGGCUCUUAGUGGACAUAGAGCAUGUCCCCCUCCUGACGUUUUAUUACCUACAAACCAAAAUACAUACAUUAGCUCCCCCUGAAAGGAGAAGGAAGGCUGGAAUGCCAACAAACAUCUAUUAUUAAAUUCACCCAACCCCUGACUCAUUAUACAACUUCGGCAACAGGAUACAAACCUCUUUCGGCGGAAGCAUCGAAUGGCGAAGAGAGGCGGCUCGGCAGGGUAGGAAUAGGAAAUCAUCAAGGAUGACUUCUUUGUUGGUAGAACGAAGAGCUAAAUAGUGAGAGUGAUUCUUUGAGCCGGUCUGGAUUUCCAACGCGUCAGAAAACUGGUCGAGAUAGAUGACUACAUUUUUUCCCCUUUUUCCUUACCGGUAGGGCAAUAUUCUUUUAUGACCUUCACCCCCCGCCCCCCAGAAAUAGAGAACUAAGACCUUUUUUAUUCCAUUCAUUUUUGCAAGCAGGGAUGAUCCAGAGUGUUGCCCCAUCCUAUUCCAGGUUUUUCCUCGCCCCACAAGCACCCAACCUUCGUUUUGCUCUUCCUUCGGUUUGCCUCCAUGAACGCACCACUUAGGAUCCCUACUCAUAUUCCAAAGGCGCUACUUCAAUUUAAGCGCAAGCACCCCCCCCCCCUUAUUGCAGAACAUAAAAAAAUAUAAACAAAGUACCAAAAUGGUUGCGGGUACGAUACACUUUGGUUACCGGCGAAGACAAUACGCACUUGAUAAUACACCGACCGCAAAUCAAACUUCGUGAAGUAUCGUGUUCCACUCAACUGAUCGAAAAGGUCUGAAAUAGGCAUAAGGUACUUGUUCUUGAUGGUCACUUUGUUCAGCGCUCUAUAAUCUAUGCAAAACCUUAAACUGCCACCAUGCUUCUUCUGAAACAGAACUAGCAUUCCAAACGUUUAGAGUUCUUGGUAAAUUCCACCAUAUUAGGAGAGAAUGAAGGACAAAAUAUUGGAAAACUAAAAAGAAAGCCAGGGCGUCUAAUGGAUGAAGUCUACCUUUGUAAUGUCAGGCUGAAAAAUAGGGGAUAGCACAAAGCCCUAAAGUCGUCUGCUUUCUCACCGGUCACAAAAAGUCUUUUAAGAAAAAGGCUUCCCUAAAUUUUUGUGGCAUCCGGAUCGGGGUACCCCGGCACAACGAAGACUGGCCCCUUUGUUUCGGGUUACCGCUGUUUUCACGGAGCAUGGGAAGGACGCGCGGCGAUUACCCUGCUUGGAGGCAUCUGGAGGCUCACGUAGCACAGCUGGCGAGUAGAGCCAAGCCCAACUAUCUCGCGAGAUUCUUCGAUUGCAUACCUAUCAGUAGUAGGAGAUCAUGUUCCUACUCGAGAGCUUGUAGUUGUGGAUCUGGAAGAUCUCUAAGGUGGAGUUGAUCCCACAGACGCUCAUCUUAGGAAGCCGUAAUAUGAUAAACAUAAGCAUGUAUGUCCAUGUGAGGCCGGCGAUAUGGAUGAAAUGUAUACCCGUCCAUGGUAGGAAUCGAUCAAGGGCUACUUUCAGGCUCUACUAAGAGAAUUCAAAAUUCCCGGCUCUUAGUCAUCGCUCUAUGAAUGAGUGGGCGAAUAAAGAUCCAGAAAAGGCAGUGCCCUUUUUUGUUGGGUUAGAACGAGUAUGAAGAGGCUGAUAAGCACUUCCCGAAUAGAUUCCUUUGUCUUCCCCGGACACUGAACAGAGGGAACCCUGGAUUCACUUGUCGUAGUAAGACCACCCCUCUAUAAGCUUUUCCUAUAGCUCUGAUGAACCUCUGUCCGCCCGUUCUCUAGAGUUCAAGAACGUAUUCUUGCAUAUCCCUUAUUUGUUGAUUAAGUCCGUUUUCCGCUAAAGACAGCAUGAAAAGCACCUAAAUUGUAAUACGUAAGAGGAAGGAUGACUAAGCAACCCCCAGUAUAGUGACUGCUUCCAUGUUUUCCCCGAAUUUCAUCAGUUCCAGGCUCAAGUGCAUGUUCAUCCAUCUUCAUUCCAAACAAAGGCGAAUAUCUCCAUUGAGUGAAUGUAACUGCUAUAGUUUACAGUCAAUAGUUCUUAACCAAAAUUUUUUUAUUAAUUAAUAUUAAUUAAUUUAUUAUUAUAUUAUGUCUUUGCCAAAGACCAAUACACAGGUGAUUCGCCAUAGUCUAAUCGAUUGAGGAGGACUAACGAGUGAAACACUCCGCCUGNNNNNNNNNNNNNNNNNNNNNNNNNUUAAUCAUAUCAUGAACCUUGAGAAACAUUCCACAUACCUGCAACUAAACUUGAUAAUCACUUGUAAUCACAACAGACUUCAAAAAUAAAAAGUUCAAAAUAAUAAAAAAUGGAUUGGAAUAAUCAUUACGAGACGAAAGAAAUCACUGAUAAAGUAUGCAAAAGAAGUAAAAUUGUUAGAAGAAAAUUAACAGUGAACGACACAGCAGCCCUAGUUAAAAUACUUCUCAUAGCACAAAGUUAUUAACUUCAAAAUCAGAAAUGCUUGUUAAACUCACAGCAGACAUAAAAAAUUAAAUUAGUCCAAUCAAUUAAGAACACAUUUAGCAACUUGCUCUUAAUGAUCUAUUUUAAUUAUAGCUAUUUAGGGUUCAAGAUUUGGGAAUUAAAUCAAAGCAGCUACUAGGAUUUCAAAGGGGUCAAAAAAUUUACGAAUUUGAAGAAAAAAAAUGUACCUACUAAAAGAGAAUCACCGGAUUCUUGAAAAACCGUAGAAAGAUCGCCAGCGCCGGAAAUCCGACUCAGACGCAUGGAGAUUCAGUUACCGAUUGAUACCAUUUUUAUGCCAUUCAAGAAGAAUCACAAGCCUGACAUAUAUGUCAAUUUCCAAAAACGAAAAGAACAUGUCCUUUUUAAGAAAGAAAGUACUUUAUUAAGGAAACUCGGGACAUGAUGGAAGACAUUUAUCAGGUCUGUAAUUCUCCUUAUAUAUAACAAGAAAAUUGUAUCAUUCGAUAAGACGGACCACCAUUUCUACGGUAGGUCAACUUUGCUCUGUUCUAAAGAGCUACUUAUACAUAAGAGUAUCAAAAGCUUCUAUAUACAUUUAACAAGAAAAGGGAUGCCACCUAUGGUUUUGACUAUUUAUGAGACAAGGGAGAACACUAUGGCCUACACGUAUUAGUACGUAAAAUCUCUCCUCGACGGUAUGCUACCUUGUGCACCAAAACCUGAUAACACUUCAGGAUUACGAGUCUCCCUUCUCCACGUUGUUCAGAUAUAUCAACAUCAUGCAAUCUAUUCCUUACAUAUACCAAAGAUAAUUGCAGAGUGGCCGCUUGUCCUCAAACAUUUAUGAAUCUAGACGGGCUCUCGUUUCAGGAGAAACUCCUUCAAAUGAGCCAUCCGUAUGCGAAAGUGUUGAAGGAAACCCAAAGUCCGCCAAGUAACAAAAUACAGAAUAACAUAAUACUGACAUAAACAUGUUAAGAAACAAAAGCUCAAAAAGAGCAGGUCAGUAACAAGACAAUUUUAUCAAAGAUGAAUAUGAAAUCAUUUACUAAGCAAUCCUAUCUUGGAGUUUUAGAAACAUUUCCUUUUCCUGCAAUAGAGCUUACUAAUCAGUAAAAUAAUUCAAAUCCAUUUCAUCUAUGGUUUUGUGGAUGCACUAGUAAGCUACAUUAAUCUUCUAACAAUUCGAAUUUAUAGAUAACUACAUCAUAACAGUCAAUAAAUAAAUAAUUUCCAGAAAUUACAUUAUCAAAAUCUUCCUAGCUUCUUCUAAAAGCAAUUUAGGAUUCAAGAUUUGGUAAUCUAAUCGAAGCAGUUAAUAAGGUUCCAAAAUCUGCACACACAAAAAAACAAGAAAGUAUCAUGGAAAAGGAUAAGAUUCACUCAAAGGGUUAAUCAAUCUAGGGUUCUAAAGAAAAAACAAUUUCACCAACCCAAAAACAUCACUGGAAUCUUGACAAUCGGUGAAAGUGCUCCAGCUCCAGCACUGGAGAAGUAUCCGAUCAAUGACCCGUUCCGUUUUCCAACACCGAUGAAUGGAGGUCCACUCACCAGUUGAUAAUAUUUUCCAUGCCAUUAAAGGAAAAUCACAAGCCUGACAAAUGUGUCUUUUGCAAGAAAACGAUAAUGACAUUUUUUUCACAUACAGGACAUUCUUUUGUAAAUGAAAUGACAGUUUAUCUAAACACCAUGAAAUUGUAUUCUUUCUUUUAGAAAUGGUCACACAUAUUUGUCAGGUUUGUAAUUCUCCUUAUAUAUAACAUGAAAGAUUAUCAUUUGAUGAGACGGACCACCAUUUCUAGCAUUUGAGUAAGAAAAAGGAACAAGAUUGAUCGAUCUGGAAACCUUCAAUACAUAAGUGUUAGGAUAUGAAUCUCUCACCAUUUAUAACCAACCAGAAAGUGAGAUGUGAUGAAGUGUUUUCACUUAGUAAUAAAUGCAUUUUACUACUUUUGAAUAAUAGAAGAUUACAUUAAUUGAAAAUAAACAAAGAUAAGAUUACAACAGAGGGCACGGAUAGUUAUUGCAGACAAAUACAAAAAAGUAGAGAUUACAGUAAUUGGUUGGCACUUCUUUUAAGUUAGAAAAAUUAAUCAACUUCAGACAAGGUGUUCACACUUAACAGUUCGGUGUAACUCAAUUUUUUACUUACAAAGAAAACAUAAAUUAAAUUAUUCCUAUGCUAGGAGCAAGGUUCAUUUGAUAGUUUUAUCAUAAUGAACAAACAACUUAAUUGUUGCCCAGGCAUCUAAUGCUAUUUCAUGCUGACUACUAUUCUACGAAGAAUCUAAAGACUGUCCAAUUGUUUAACCCAAAAGGAAAGAAAGGACUUCAAACCUCAAAGUAAUCUGAGGAUCUUCAGCCUAUAAUUUUUGCAAAAAACAAUGGUGGAAUUACCUGUGGAGGAGGCUAUUAGCUCAGAACUAUCAACAUGAUGUCUCUAGAGGAAUAAAUGUCCCAUAAUAGCCAUAUGCCAUAUACACCCUCAAUGGGAUAGUCUAGAAGUCGAAGAGAAGAGUAAUGACCUUGGGAACCAAGGCUCGAUUCUCAACGUAGGCGAUACUAUGUGAAUUCUUCCUCUCUCUACAAGGGCACUUACUUGACAAAUAGGAAAAUGUAAGCACUCAUCUCAAUGAUUAUGUACAAAGUUUGGGAUGCCAAACUCAAAUUGUAACUUUUAUCACAUAAAUAAUCAAUGGAGGCUCAGUUUUAAUAAAUUAAAAAAAUAAAAAAAAGGGAAAGCAUAAGCUCUGUGCAACUGUUACUGUUCACUACUAAUUCUUAUCCACAAAAUUCCAGGAACGAGUCUCUCAACAACAAUGUUAGUUGAAAUGCUUGCAGCUAGUUUAUCCACGUGACACGUUACAGUUGCAAAACUAGCAAAACUUUCAUGGCAUUGCUAGGGCGCACACAACAUCUUAAGAUCAUAAUCAAAUUGCAGGAUUCAGAUUUUAAGUUUGAACUUUGAACAUUACCAGAGUAUUGAAGUUCUUUAAAAGGUCUCCUAAUAACUUUCCACUAAUUUCUGGCAGCUUGUUAUUUCUAGUUUGUAAGCUUUCUGCCACAACAUGCUUGGUUUUAUGUUCCAUCUUGUCAUACCAAGUUGCAUAAGAGUGAAUUCUUUGAGAGUUCACUAGUUUGAUUUCUUAGUAGUUCUGCUAUGUGGCUCCAGUAUGAGUACGACAAUCAAGAAUUAACAGUCUUGAGUCAAGACAUGUCACCAAGGUUCUAAUUCUAGCCGUUCAGCUUGCUUUUAAGAUGCACACCAACUAAUAGAUGUUAUAAAAAAAAAUACAUACGAAAGAGGCUAACUUAUAAGUAAAAUAAGGCCCAUAAAGUGUGAAGAACUGAAAACAACAUAUUUUAUUCCUAUUCAAGGAGCAUGGCUCAUUUAAGAGAUUCCUCAUUAUGAGCGAAAAAAAUUAAUUGUUCACAGACAUGUAAUAUUCAUAGUCAACAAUGGGAAUACAUAGACACCAAAAAAACAAAACAAACUUUAGGAAACAACAAAAGUUAGAGAUUAUAGUUGUCAAUACCAAUCAGAAAGAAAAUAUGUAGUGUCUCGGACAAAUUGUCAGCGUGAAAAACCCAACCCAAAAGGGAAAAAAAAGGCAUUCCCAGUCAUCAAAAUGUCCGAGAAGCUCCAGCCAAUAAAUUUAGCAAGCACAAAGGAGGAAUCACCUGUAUCAUCUUUAUGAAUAAAAUUCCUUAAUGCCAUAAGUGUGAUAAAUGACGCUUAAUAUCAUACAUAAGCACCAGGAAAUGCGAAAAUAUAGGACAGGGUAGGUCUAUGAUUCCCAACAAAAGAGAAACAGUUCAGCAAGUUCUAAGGAAGUUAGGAACCUAACUUCAUUUAAAACUGUUACAUUAGAUUUUGACUAGAUAUUUGCAGGGUCUCAGGGGAUAGGUGCCGAAGCCGAAUUCCAGGCUCCCCGAGAAGGGGGGGGGGGGGGGGCACGGAAAGUUAAGAAGCUCGUAGAGGUAAAACAUUGCAUCAGAUCUAGUGAGGCAAUAUCAUAGCAAUUCUGAUAUGCAGUUGAUGAGUAACAUAGACGUAUUCAUGCUUCUGUCAACUCAUUUUCAUCUAUUAGCCAAAAAAAAAAAAAAACUCAUUUUCAUCCACAUAUCUUAUUUUCAGAAUUCGAUCAAGCAUAAUUAUGUUCCACAAUAGGAUAAGUUUAUUCCAUUCUAAAUAGCUAAUUAUACAUAACAGUAUCAAAACUUCAGCAUAUAUUUAAUAAGAAAAGGCAUGUCAACUAUAGCUUUGACUAUUUUUUGUGAUAGAGCACACUAUCGCCUUAACGUAUUGACAUGAAAUAAACUAGUAAAAUUUAGCACAUAAUACUUCUCCUUGACAGGACGCUAUAUUCUGCACCAUAAUAGGUAUAAAAGGUAAUUAAACAAGCCAAUUUCAGCAAAUAUGAAAAGUAAUCAGCAACUAAGAAAUCCUCUCAUGAAGCUUAAGAAAUGUUUCCCGCACCUGCAACUGAACUAGCUAAUCAGUUGGAAUCAUAAAGGAUUUAAAACCUAAAAGAAGCCCUAGUUAAAUGCUUCUCACAGCUCAAAGUUAUUUACUUUAUUAUUAAAAUCAGAAAUGCUUGUUAAACUCAACAGCACAUAGAAAAAAACUAAAUUUUGAAGGAAGAAUUUAUCAGCAAAUUUAGUUUUACUUAAAGAGAAAAAUUAGUCCAGUCAAUUAAGAACAGACUUAGCAACAUGCUCUUAAUGGUCUAUUAGUUACAGCAAUUUAGGGUUCAAAUUUUGGGAUUUAAACUGAAGCAGCUUACUAGGGUUUCAAAAAGCUGAGACAUAGUCACAAAAAAUCAACAAGAUUUAAUUCGAAGGGUUAAUCAAUUUAGGGGUUUGAAUAAAAAGAACAAUUUUAUUCAAAAAUCAUCACCGGAAACCUGAAAAACCAGCGAAAGAUUGCCGGCGCCGGAAAAGUAUCCGAUCAUAUACUCAUUUCUUUAUCCGACUCAGACGCAUGGAGAUCCAGUUACCGAUUGAUACUAUUUUCUAUGCCAUCGAAGGAGAAUCACAAGCCUGACAAAUAUGUCACUUUCCAAAAUCGGAAAGAACAUGUCUCUUUUUAAGAAAGAGGAACUUUAUUAAAAGAAACCCGUGACCGAAAACUUAUUUGUCCUUUGUAAUUCUCCUUCUUGCUAACAAGAAAAUUGUAUCCGUCAAUAAGACGGACCACCAUUUCUACCAUCUAAGCAGGAAAAAGAAACAAGGAUUGAUCAUUAAAAAAAC